GGGCCCAUAGCUCAGUCGGUUAGAGCUGACGACUCAUAAUCGUCCGGUCGCUGGUUCAAGUCCAGCUGGGCCCACCA
rnacentral:tRNA from 2 species